CAUCUAUAAAUCAUCUUCAAUUUCAUUUCAUCUCCAAGAAGUUCCACUGCUGCAACGAAUUACAAUUUGCGCUUUCCUUCUCUUUUCUUGCUUGAUUUUCUUGCUAUUUUUUUCUUCUUUAUUUUUUUCUGAUACUUUUUGAUGUGUUUUAUCCCCGUUUCGGUCCCAUAUACUGUGGUGUUCUUUUCUCCGGGAAAUUCUUCUGUCAAUUUCUUAUGUAUGUGGGAAAAUGCUGAGUCUGUGAUGAAGAUGUAACAGUGCUAGAGGCGACACAUUGUGUUCGUCGAUGACGGCGCAAUUAUCCUCUAAGAAGUUCUGAGCUCAACAUUUUUAAUCUAUUUUCAUUAUUGUUUAAUUGUUUGUCAAUAAUAUAUUGUUUAAAUUUCCCUUGUUGGGAAUUAGUUGAUUACUACUUUGAGCUUAUUCUGGGGAGGGAAAAAGCUAUGCGAAGUGAUGAUAGCAAUUCAUUCGUCUGUCAAUCCGCUGAUACUGCGUGAUGUUUAUAUGAAUCCCGACAGAUUAUUUGAACUUCUCUGAGAGGAAUUUGUGGAAGAAAUCUGGUCGGAAUUUGAGGAAUAAAACUGGCUAUCUACUUGGAUUUUUGUUUGUAAUAUCUACAUAUAGUUGUAUUAGAAAAUUGGAGAUCAAAAUUUUAUAGUACAAGUAAUAAAGAAACCUCUGUUUGUAAAACGUACAGAUAGUUGUAUUACGAAAGUUGGAGAUCAAAAUUUUACAGUA